UGCUGGAGGUAUCAGAAGUGCGAAUGCUGACAUAAGUAACGAUAAAGCGGGUGAAAAGCCCGCUCGCCGGAAGACCAAGGGUUCCUGUCCAACGUUAAUCGGGGCAGGGUGAGUCGACCCCUAAGGCGAGGCCGAAAGGCGUAGUCGAUGGGAAACAGGUUAAUAUUCCUGUACUCGGUGUUACUGCGAAGGGGGGACGGAGAAGGCUAUGUUGGCCGGGCGACGGUUGUCCCGGUUUAAGCAUGUAGGCGGAGGUUCCAGGUAAAUCCGGUACCUUUUUAACGCUGAGGUGUGAUGACGAGGCACUACGGUGCUGAAGCAACAAAUGCCCUGCUUCCAGGAAAAGCCUCUAAGCAUCAGGUAACAUCAAAUCGUACCCCAAACCGACACAGGUGGUCAGGUAGAGAAUACCAAGGCGCUUGAGAGAACUCGGGUGAAGGAACUAGGCAAAAUGGUGCCGUAACUUCGGGAGAAGGCACGCUGAUAUGUAGGUGAAGCCCCUGCGGGUGGAGCUGAAAUCAGUCGAAGAUACCAGCUGGCUGCAACUGUUUAUUAAAAACACAGCACUGUGCAAACACGAAAGUGGACGUAUACGGUGUGACGCCUGCCCGGUGCCGGAAGGUUAAUUGAUGGGGUUAUCCGUAAGGAGAAGCUCUUGAUCGAAGCCCCGGUAAACGGCGGCCGUAACUAUAACGGUCCUAAGGUAGCGAAAUUCCUUGUCGGGUAAGUUCCGACCUGCACGAAUGGCGUAAUGAUGGCCAGGCUGUCUCCACCCGAGACUCAGUGAAAUUGAAAUCGCUGUGAAGAUGCAGUGUACCCGCGGCAAGACGGAAAGACCCCGUGAACCUUUACUAUAGCUUGACACUGAACACUGGUCCUUGAUGUGUAGGAUAGGUGGGAGGCUUUGAAGCGUGGACGCCAGUCUGCGUGGAGCCAUCCUUGAAAUACCACCCUUUAAUGGCUGGUGUUCUAACGUGGACCCGUAAUCCGGGUUGCGGACAGUGUCUGGUGGGUAGUUUGACUGGGGCGGUCUCCUCCUAAAGAGUAACGGAGGAGCACGAAGGUUAGCUAAUCCUGGUCGGACAUCAGGAGGUUAGUGCAAUGGCAUAAGCUAGCUUGACUGCGAGAGUGACGGCUCGAGCAGGUGCGAAAGCAGGUCAUAGUGAUCCGGUGGUUCUGUAUGGAAGGGCCAUCGCUCAACGGAUAAAAGGUACUCCGGGGAUAACAGGCUGAUACCGCCCAAGAGUUCAUAUCGACGGCGGUGUUUGGCACCUCGAUGUCGGCUCAUCACAUCCUGGGGCUGAAGUAGGUCCCAAGGGUAUGGCUGUUCGCCAUUUAAAGUGGUACGCGAGCUGGGUUUAGAACGUCGUGAGACAGUUCGGUCCCUAUCUGCCGUGGGCGCUGGAGAAUUGAGGGGGGCUGCUCCUAGUACGAGAGGACCGGAGUGGACGCAUCACUGGUGUUCGGGUUGUCAUGCCAAUGGCACUGCCCGGUAGCUAAAUGCGGAAGAGAUAAGUGCUGAAAGCAUCUAAGCACGAAACUUGCCCCGAGAUGAGUUCUCCCUGA
rnacentral:rRNA from 1 species